rnacentral:rRNA from 1 species
ACCUACGGGGCGCAGCAGUGGGGAAUAUUGCACAAUGGGGGAAACCCUGAUGCAGCGACGCCGCGUGAAGGAAGAAGUAUUUCGGUAUGUAAACUUCUAUCAGCAGGGAAGAAAAUGACGGUACCUGACUAAGAAGCCCCGGCUAACUACGUGCCAGCAGCCGCGGUAAUACGUAGGGGGCAAGCGUUAUCCGGAUUUACUGGGUGUAAAGGGAGCGUAGGCGGCGAUGCAAGUCAGAAGUGAAAGCCCGGGCCCAACCCCGGAACUGCAUUGGAAACUGUUUAUCUAGAGUGUCGGAGAGGCAA